GUUGUGUUUCAGUUCACUUUCUUUCUCCACUGUAGCUCCAUGAAUAUUAAUCCUUAAUAUUCUCAGAUAGCUGAGUUAAACCUUAGCUAAACGUUAGCUGUUUAGCUCAGAGAGGACUCUCUGUUUUGUUUUGUUGUACAAUGUACACU